CAGCUAGGUUCGGAAGCACAUAUACUAAAAUUGGAACCAUACAGAGAAGAUUAGCAUGGCCCCUGUGCAAGCAUAACAUGCAAAUUUGUGAAGUGGUCCAUAUUUCU
ensembl:snRNA U6 U6 spliceosomal RNA